rnacentral:lncRNA from 1 species
AUGUAUUCCCGGGCCACCUCUGGAGGUCCAGGGAUCAAAGGGGGCCCGAGGAUCCUGAAGGUGAAGCCCUGCCCGAGGCUCCACGGCUCCCCCAGGAAGGCCUUUGUGAUGAUUAUGAAGCCUGGGCAGGCACCCAAUCCCAAGCUGGGCCCAAUCACCCACCUCCUCCUUCCCUGGAAGCGGCCAGCGAUCCCCCUGCGGCCUUGGCAAGAGACCUUUAAAGAUGCAGGUGGAACCCGGAGAAAGCCACGCAGAGAAGCCGGGCCAGUGUUUGACCAACUGUGCCUGGAACUGGGCCAGGGAGAGGAAGUUACAGAGGGUUUGCAAAAUAACUUCCCCUCGCUUCUGAAGGCAGGGCGAUGGGGUGUGCUCUGA